CCAACUCCUCUGUUUAAUAAAGAAUUUCUGUUGCACGUAUGCGUCCCCGUAGACGCCAAUGUAUUUUUGCGCUUGAUUUCACGAAAUACAUUCGUUUGUUCUCCUCUAUUUAACGAAGUCUCUGGGCAACGAAAGCCUUCUGCACGUGUCUUUCCCCUUCACCACCAAGAAGAGGGGAAGGAGAAACUUUCCCCUCUCCGUUGUCCUCACGCGAGUUUUCGGUUGUCACGUGCUGUGGGCACGAGCGUGUAGACAUGUGCGUAUGUGCGCUGCCAGCAAUUUUCGGUGCGCCGACGCCGUUUAGAAAUCGGCGCGAGGGCCUGAAGAGGCUGAGGGCUUUUCGUACCUGUUUUCGGACAAGAAAACACGCAUUGCUGGCUUUUCCUGAAGUCUAAUUUGCUGUUGCUGAUGGCCAUGACACAUUCAACGGGGGUGUACUCUCGUUCUUUCCCCGACGUCAUGAGUGCAAGUGAAUCAACCAAGAAACGUCGAUACGCGAGUGCACAGGAGAAAGCUGUAGAGGUCAUCCGGAAUUACGAAAGUUGUGGACACUCAGUGCGAUAUUGUACACAAGUUACGUAUUAUCGAGCGUUCUGUGAUGAAUAAAGCUUGAUAUUUUGUGCCCUUC